AGUAAAAGUCGUAACAAGGUUUCCGUAGGUGAACCUGCGGAAGGAUCAUUACUGUUUGCUAACGGCCUCUUGGGGGGAAACCUCCCUGAGGUACGGGCAACUUUACCCUUGUCUAUACAUACCUAUUGUUAUUUCCCUCGGCGGGGCAACCCGCCGCUGGGGACAAUCUAAACCCUUUGUAUUAAAGUAUCAAAACUUCUGAAAAAAACAAAUAAUUACAACUUUUAACAAUGGAUCUCUUGGUUCUGGCAUCGAUGAAGAACGCAGCGAAAUGCGAUAAGUAGUGUGAAUUGCAGACUUUAGUGAAUCAUCGAAUCUUUGAACGCACAUUGCGCCCCUUGGUAUUCCAUUGGGCAUGCCUGUUCGAGCGUCAUUUACACCCUCAAGCUACGCUUGGUGUUGGGCGUCUGUCCCUGCUUUACGCAAGGACUCGCCCCAAAUUUAUUGGCAGCGGCAUUGUCGGCUUCUUGCGCAGCACUUUGCGCCUUGAAGAUCUCCGGCGGGCUUGCGUCCACUAAGAACCCCCCCAGUUUGACCUCGAAUCAGGUAGGGAUACCCGCUGAACUUAAGCAUAUCAAUAAGCGGAGGAAAAGAAACCAACAGGGAUUGCCCCAGUAACG
rnacentral:rRNA from 1 species